GCUGGCGGCAGGCUUAACACAUGCAAGUCGAGCGGUAGCAGAUCUAGCUUGCUAGAUGCUGACGAGCGGCGGACGGGUGAGUAACGCGUAGGAACCUGCCCAGUAGUGGGGGAGUAGCCCGGGGAAACUCGGAUUAAUACCGCAUACGCUCUACGGAGGAAAGAGGGGCUUCGGCUCUCGCUAUUGGAUGGGCCUGCGUGAGAUUAGCUAGUUGGUGAGGUAAUGGCUCACCAAGGCGACGAUCUCUAGCUGGUCUGAGGGGAUGAUCAGCCACACUGGGACUGAGACACGGCCCAGACUCCUACGGGAGGCAGCAGUGGGGAAUAUUGCACAAUGGGCGCAAGCCUGAUGCAGCCAUGCCGCGUGUGUGAAGAAGGCUUUCGGGUUGUAAAGCACUUUCAGUGGGGAGGAAGGCCUCGUAGUUAAUAGCUGCGAGGAUUGACGUUACCCACAGAAGAAGCACCGGCUAACUCCGUG
rnacentral:rRNA from 1 species